AGGUUAAGUUAAUAAGGGCGCAUGGUGGAUGCCUUGGCACUAGAAGGCGAUGAAGGACGUGACUAACUACGAUAUGCCUCGGUUAGCUGUAAGUAAGCUUACCCGGGGGUUUCCGAAUGGGGCAACCCGAUCUUAAUGAUCAUCAUCUUUUUGAAUUCAUAGAUUAGAUGAAGCAAACGCUGUGAACUGAAACAUCUAAGUAGCAGUAGGAAAGUAAAGAAAUUUCGAUUCCGUCAGUAGCGGCGAGCGAACGCGGAAGAGCCCAAACCUGGAUGCUUGCAUCCAGGGGUUGUAGGACUGAUGUUGAGUUACAAAGGUAUAAGAUAGCAGAAACAGUUGGGAAGCUGUUCCAAAGAGGGUGACAGGCCCGUAUGCGAAAUCUUGUACUCUCUAAUCAGGAUCCUGAGUACGGCCCAGCACGUGAAAUUGGGUCGGAAUCUGGGAGGACCAUCUCCCAAGGCUAAAUACUAACUAGUGACCGAUAGCGAACAAGUACCGUGAGGGAAAGGUGAAAAGAACCCCGGAAGGGGAGUGAAAUAGUUCUUGAAACCGUGUGCUUACAAGAAGUUCGAGGCCGUUAAUGGCUGAGAGCGUGCUUUUUGUAGAAUGAACCGGAGAGUUACGAUUGCGUGCAAGGUUAAGGUGCAAAGACUGGAGCCGUAGCGAAAGCGAGUCUUAAUAGGGCGAAUCAGUACGUAGUUGUAGACCCGAAACCGAGUGACCUAUCCAUGGUCAGGUUGAAGGUGGGGUAAUACCUACUGGAGGACCGAACAAGUGGGUGUUAAAAAACCCUUUGAUGAACUGUGGAUAGCGGUGAAAUUCCAAUCGAACUCGGAGAUAGCUGGUUCUAUCCGAAAUACAUUUAGGUGUAGCCUUGCAAUUAGCUUACUGGAGGUAGAGCACUAUUUGGUCUAGGGGCCCUUCAAGGGUUACCAAAAUCAGAUAAACUCCGAAUGCCAGCUAAGUAUGUGCAGGAGUCAGACGGUGAGUGAUAAGAUCCAUCGUCAAAAGGGGAACAGCCCAGAUC
rnacentral:rRNA from 1 species